rnacentral:rRNA from 1 species
CGGCCUAUACAUGCAAGUCGAACGGUGUCUUCGGACAUAGUGGCGCACGGGUGCGUAACACGUAUGCAACCUACCUUACAUUGGGGGAUAGCCUUUCGAAAGGGAGAUUAAUACCGCAUAAGACAGUAACUAGGCAUCUAGUAGCUGUUAAAGAUUUAUCGAUGUAAGCUGGGCAUGCGACCAAUUAGCUAGUUGGUGAGGUAAUGGCUCACCAAGGCUAUGAUUGGUAGGGGAACUGAGAGGUCAAUCCCCCACACUGGCACUGAGAUACGGGCCAGACUCCUACGGGAGGCAGCAGUAGGGAAUAUUGGUCAAUGGGCGCAAGCCUGAACCAGCCAUGCCGCGUGCAGGAUGACGGUCCUAUGGAUUGUAAACUGCUUUUGUACAGGAAGAAACACUCCCUCGUGAGGGAGCUUGACGGUACUGUAAGAAUAAGGAUCGGCUAACUCCGUGCCAGCAGCCGCGGUAAUACGGAGGAUCCAAGCGUUAUCCGGAAUCAUUGGGUUUAAAGGGUCCGUAGGCGGCUUAAUAAGUCAGUGGUGAAAGCCCUACGCUUAACGUAGGAACGGCCAUUGAUACUGUUAGGCUUGAAUUAUUAGGAAGUAACUAGAAUAUGUAGUGUAGCGGUGAAAUGCUUAGAGAUUACAUGGAAUACCAAUUGCGAAGGCAGGUUACUACUAAUGGAUUGACGCUGAUGGACGAAAGCGUGGGUAGCGAACAGGAUUAGAUACCCUGGUAGUCCACGCCGUAAACGAUGGAUACUAGCUGUUGGGAGCAAUUUCAGUGGCUAAGCGAAAGUGAUAAGUAUCCCACCUGGGGAGUACGAACGCAAGUUUGAAACUCAAAGGAAUUGACGGGGGCCCGCACAAGCGGUGGAGCAUGUGGUUUAAUUCGAUGAUACGCGAGGAACU